AAGGAUCAUAGAUUUGAUAAAGAAAAUUUCAAAUCCAUUACCGGUAUGAUCUUGUGCUGUCAUGUACUUGUAUUUCUUUGAUUUAUUUCUAGCUAUUUUGAAUGAUGCAUGGUAUUCUGGAAGAAACUGAACUUGAAAGUUUCCAGGGAUUCAUGCCUUCAUUUCAUAGCCUAGGAAGAGACUUAUUGUCAAAAGCACAGAAUUCCAAGUGGCCAGUAAAGACACCUGUUCAACUCUUGUAAGCUUUCGAAUACUUGAAAAUGGAAUUACCUACGGGAUGAUGGCAGGCGCUCUUCAUUCGGACAUUUCGCUGCAGUUUUUGAAUAUGUGAAGCGGAAUAGACCGCCAGAGUUGAAGUGAAAAGAAAUUCGUCCUGUGAAUCCUGGUUACGAUCCCGACAGUUUCCUAAUUAUUUACUCACGAGUAGUAAUCUAGAAACGGUUAGCUGUGCAGAGCUGUGCAGCCGGAUUAAUUUUCGGCUUCCGAAAAAGGCCAAGACCUGGCACAUUGAAUCAAAAAAGUGUUGGCAUCUUGGCAUGCAGUGAAUUAUUCGUAGUCUAUUCUCGACGUAUGCAGGAUGAAGAGCUCCCUCAUUUUACUGAUGUUUCUACUGCUAGGCAUUCACGCCGUUAUUGUGAAUGGAGCACGCCGUUAUCAUCCAAUUCAAAGCGGGUCAUCUCCUGAUCAGUAUCACCGCCAGCAAAACCAGCAUUAUAACAACGUCUACGAAGACUACAGUAAUCACUAUCAUGCUUAUUAUCCCUUUCCAAUUACGUUCGUCUACGGAGCCAUAGGUCCUGCCAGAGGCUAACAGCUGUUUCCAGAAGUUUGCAAAAAGCUACGACGUAAGGUGUUUCCAAGCUGUAGUUUGAAAACGUAGCAAUAUAUACAGUUACACAAA
rnacentral:lncRNA from 1 species